GGAGUCCAGAUGAGGCUCUGGGCCACCUCCCACCCGUGUUUAUUUUACCUUGUUGCUUCGGCGGGCCCGCCUUAACUGGCCGCCGGGGGGCUCACGCCCCCGGGCCCGCGCCCGCCGAAGACACCCUCGAACUCUGUCUGAAGAUUGUAGUCUGAGUGAAAACAUAAAUUAUUUAAAACUUUCAACAACGGAUCUCUUGGUUCCGGCAUCGAUGAAGAACGCAGCGAAAUGCGAUACGUAAUGUGAAUUGCAAAUUCAGUGAAUCAUCGAGUCUUUGAACGCACAUUGCGCCCCCUGGUAUUCCGGGGGGCAUGCCUGUCCGAGCGUCAUUACUGCCCUCAAGCCCGGCUUGUGUGUUGGGCCCCGUCCUCCGAUCCCGGGGGACGGGCCCGAAAGGCAGCGGCGGCACCGCGUCCGGUCCUCGAGCGUAUGGGGCUUUGUCACCCGCUCUGUAGGCCCGGCCGGCGCUUGCCGAUCAACCCCAAUUUUUAUAGGUUGACCUCGGAUCAGGUAGGGAUACCCGCUGAACUUAAGCAUAUCAAUAAGCGGAGGAAAAGAAACCAACAGGGAUUGCCCCAGUAACGGCGAGUGAAGCGGCAAGAGCUCAAAUUUGAAAGCUGGCUCCUUCGGGGUCCGCAUUGUAAUUUGCAGAGGAUGCUUCGGGAGCGGUCCCCAUCUAAGUGCCCUGGAACGGGACGUCAUAGAGGGUGAGAAUCCCGUAUGGGAUGGGGUGUCCGCGCCCGUGUGAAGCUCCUUCGACGAGUCGAGUUGUUUGGGAAUGCAGCUCUAAAUGGGUGGUAAAUUUCAUCUAAAGCUAAAUAUUGGCCGGAGACCGAUAGCGCACAAGUAGAGUGAUCGAAAGAUGAAAAGCACUUUGAAAAGAGAGUUAAAAAGCACGUGAAAUUGUUGAAAGGGAAGCGCUUGCGACCAGACUCGCUCGCGGGGUUCAGCCGGCAUUCGUGCCGGUGUACUUCCCCGCGGGCGGGCCAGCGUCGGUUUGGGCGGUCGGUCAAAGGCCCUCGGAAGGUAACGCCCCUCGGGGCGUCUUAU
rnacentral:sRNA from 1 species